rnacentral:rRNA from 1 species
AGUCUACUCAUAAUGCCAACAAUGGAUGCCUUGGAGGUUUUGGCCUAGGAAGGACGCAAAGGCUGCGAUACUCGUCGGGUAGGUGCCUAACACCUUUGAUCCGGCGGUUUCCGAAUGGGGCAACCCGUCCCGCUUUGCGGGACAACCUAACCACAAAAAUAGCUCCGCAAGGAAUUAUAUAGUGAUUGGGUAGGGCACGGCGUGAACCGAAACAUCCUAGUAGCGCCAGGAAAAUAAAUCAGUAAUGAGAUUCCCUUAGUAGCGGCGAGCGAAGAGGGAAGAGUCUAAACCACGCUCAAUUAUAUGAGUGUGGGGUUGUAGGGCAGACGAUAUUCGAUGUGCUGAAGAUAACAGAAUAAUCCGGAAUGGUUACCCAAAGAGAGUGAAAGGCUCGUAUGUGAAAUCCAAAGCACCGAUAGUUUGUACCUAAGUACCAUGGGGUACGAUAAAACCCUGUGGGAAUCUGGGACGUCCACGUUCCAAGACUAAAUACCAAAACCUACCGAUAGUGAACUAGUACCGUGAGGGAAAGGUGAAAAGCACCCCGGGAGGGGAAUGAAAUAGACCUGAAAUUGUUGGCUGACAAGCAGACGAAGUCCUUCAGCUUCGCAAGAAGCUUCAGGAUAACGUCGUGCCUAUUGAAGAAUGAACCUGUGAGUUAUUCCGAUGUACAUUUAGCCUAAAUCAGUUAUCUGAUGGAGGCGUAGUGAAAGCGAUCCCUAAUUGGGAUAUUUAGCGCAUCGGAAUAGACCCGAAACCGGGUGAGCUAACCUUGGGCAGGGUGAGUCCCGCGUAAAUGCGGGAGGAAGCCCGAACUCGUAUCCGUAGCAAUGGGUUGAGAUGACCUGAGGUUAGGGGCAAUAUGCCAAUCGAACCCGGAGAUAGCUGGUUCUCCCCGAAAUAUAUUUAGGUAUAGCGGGAUGAUAAGUGGUUUAGAGGUAGAGCACUAAAUCGAUCUUGCGACGCAAGUCGUGAAAUCGAAUUAAACUCCGAAUACUAAACUUUAGUUUCAUCCUAGUCAGACUGUUCGGGCUAAGCUGAUCAGUCGAGAGGGAAACAGCCCAGACUCUCAUCUAAGGUCUCUAAAUAAAAGCUAAGUUUGUAAGGAAGUCAAAUUUCAUAGACAGCCAGGAGGUUGGCUUAGAAGCAGCCAUCCUUUAAAGAAAGCGUAACAGCUCACUGGAGGACGAAAUUUGGCGCCGAAAAUGUAUCGAGGAUUAAGCUUUUUACCGAAGAUGGAGAUCCCGUCGCAAGACGGGGUGGUAGGGGAGCGUUUUUAGUGCAGUGAAGUCGAGCUGUAAGGCGAGAUGGAGCGCUAAUAAGUGAGUAUGCAGGUAUGAGUAGCGAGAUGCCGAUGAGAAGUCGGCACGCCGAAAACCCAAGGUUUCCUCCGCAAUGUAAGUCAGCGGAGGGUUAGUCGGUCCUAAGGGUGUCCCGUUAUUUAAGGCGGGGUAGCCCGAUGGAUAAGUCGUUAAAAUUCGACUACAAGAUAUGGAAUUCUGUAAGGGAGUGACGAGGGUGGAAGAGUUGAGCCGAGCUUGCUCGGUUUAAGUAGUAAGAUAGGAUGAAUUGGAAAAUCCGUUUGUCCGUUUAAUUAAGCUGCGAUGCAAAGUUUUUUCGCAAGAAAGGACAAUUCAAUAGCUUUCAGCCUCCGAGAAAAACUUCAUUACCUCCGAUUUUUAUCGGAGAAAGCCAUAUUUUUCCGUACCGCAAACCGACACAGGUGGGUUGGUCGAGAAGACUAAGGCGAUCGAGAGAAAGAUGAUCAAGGAACUCGGCAAUAAAUCUGGGCGUAACCUAUGGGAGAUGCCCUGUCCCGAUUAAUAUCGGGAUUUCAACAAAAGUUUACUUAGCGACUGUUUAUCUAAAACACAGGCCCCUGCAAAACCGAAAGGUAAAGUAUAGGGACCGACACCUGCCCAAUGCUGGUAAGUCAAUGAUCGCUGAGUGACCGUCGCAAGAUGGAAGCUUGGUAUCAAAGCUCCAGUGAAUGGCAGCAGUAACUAUAACUGUUCUAAGGUAGCGAAGCCCCUUGUCGGGUAAGUUCCGACCUGCAUGAAAGGUAGAACGACUAAGUAACUGUCUUGAUCAUCUACUCGGCGAAAUUGAGAUGGCUGUGAAGACGCGGCCUAGUUGUCCUUGGACAAAAAGACCCCAUGGAGCUUUACUGUAUCUUGGCAUUUGAAAGUUUAUGUCAACUGUUUAGAAUAGGAGGGACCCUGAGAGCAAUCGAAGGGGAAAGUGAAAUACCUCUCUUUGAAAUAGACAAUCAUUACCUCUUUGCCGCAAAAAAAUUCGGCAGAGGGACAGUGUCUGGUGGGCAGUUUAACUGGGACGGUUGACUCCUACAAUGCAACGGAGUUGUACAAAGGUUGGCUAGUCUUGGAUGGAAAUCAAGACGAUAGUGCAAACGCAUAAGCCAGCUUAACUGCGAGACCUACAAGUCGAGCAGAGACGAAAGUCGGUGUUAGUGAUCCUCCGAUGCUUAGUGGUAAGCACGGAGCUUAACGGAUAAAAGCUACCCUGGGGAUAACAGGCUGAUCGCUCCCAAGCGUUCAUAGCGACGGGGCGGUUUGGCACCUUAUGUAAUUAACAUCGGGGCGCCUAUAGAGUAAUUUAUAAGCUUGGUACUUCAUACUAUUUGAACCAAAUGGUAUUCAGUAUAAAUUUACUAGUUAAAAUCGGUGAACCCCUUCGCGAUUCGAACAAUCGCUCAGGGCAAUACCGAGGGAAUCCUUCGACACUUCGCACGUUCGUGCUUAGUGCUCAGGACCCGUAUCGACUUCCCCGCUUUUGCGGGGAGAUGGAAGUUCUGUUCUGCUUUGCAGAAAAUUUACAGCUUCCAUAAAAGACUAGCUCCCUCGUACUUCAGCACAUUAGUGCUUCAGUACUCGGGAUGAAGGUAUAGUCAAGCCUCUUGGUAACAAGAGGGUGCGUUCCGAUUGAAAUCGGAAUCGCGAUGUCGGCUCAUCGCAUCCUGGGGGUGUAGAAGCUCCCAAAGGUCGGGCUGUUCGCCCGUUAAAGCGGUACGCGAGCUGGGUUCAGAACGUCGUAAGACAGUAGACCUAUAGCGUUAAUAACGCUAUUAAAUGAGCUGUCUAU